UACGUAGGGGGCAAGCGUUGUCCGGAUUUAUUGGGCGUAAAGAGCGUGUAGGCGGUCAGGUAGGUCCGUUGUGAAAACUCGAGGCUCAACCUCGAGACGCCGAUGGAAACCAUCUGACUAGAGUCCGGAAGAGGAGAGUGGAAUUCCUGGUGUAGCGGUGAAAUGCGCAGAGUAUCAGGAAGAACACCCGUGGCUAAGGCGGCUCUCUAGUACGGUACUGACGCUGAGACGCGAAAGCGUGGGGAGCGAACAGG
rnacentral:rRNA from 1 species